GGUUGUGGAAGAGCAAGUCUACUUCACCGUUGGGUCACUAUUAGAACCCAAGUAACUAUGGAGUCACUCUGACUAUAACAAUGAACAUGGAAUUUUUAUUUAUUGGCAACAUUGUGCCACACAUGGAAAGCAGACUUCAAUGGUUUUACCAAAAUGGAUUUCUUUGGACACACACCUCUUCUCCAUUUACUCAGUGGAGAAAAAAUAAAAGAAAGCAGGUCUGGGAAGAAUGAGAAAGGGUGGCAAGAGCUAACAUGCUGGCAAACAAAAAAUUUAAUCCCUCAAGGAUUCCAAUAUUAAACUGAACACAGGGGAUCCCUGGGUGGCUCAGCAGUUUGGCACCUGCCUUUGGCCCAGGGCACGAUCCUGAGGUCCCGGGAUCAAGUCCUGCAUUGGGCUCCCAGCAUGGAGCCUGCUUCUCCCUCUG